GACGGAGGGUGCAAGCGUUGUUCGGAUUGACUGGGCGUAAAGGGCGUGUAGGCGGUUGGUCAAGUCCGAUGUGAAAGCCCGGGGCUCAGCUUCGGAAGUGCAUCGGAAACUAGCCAGCUGGAGCGCGAUAGAGGAGGGCGGAAUUCCUGGUGUAGCGGUGAAAUGCGUAGAUAUCAUGAGGAACACCAGAGGCGAAGGCGGCUACCUGGACAGUUACUGACGCUCAGGCACGAAAGCGUGGGGAGCAAAAGGG
rnacentral:rRNA from 1 species